GGAGAGGUCGCAUAGUCCGGUCUAGUGCGCACGCCUGGAGCGCGUGUAGACUUUAAAAGGUCUCGUGGGUUCGAAUCCCACCCUCUCCGCCA
rnacentral:tRNA from 1 species